rnacentral:rRNA from 1 species
AAUAGAUACCCUGGUAGUCCACGCCGUAAACGAUGUCGACUUGGAGGUUGUUCCCUUGAGGAGUGGCUUCCGGAGCUAACGCGUUAAGUCGACCGCCUGGGGAGUACGGCCGCAAGGUUAAAACUCAAAUGAAUUGACGGGGGCCCGCACAAGCGGUGGAGCAUGUGGUUUAAUUCGAUGCAACGCGAAGAACCUUACCUACUCUUGACAUUCAGAGAACUUUCCAGAGAUGGAUUGGUGCCUUCGGGAACUCUGAGACAGGUGCUGCAUGGCUGUCGUCAGCUCGUGUUGUGAAUGUUGGGUUAAGUCCCGCAACGAGCGCAACCCUUAUCCUUUGUUGCCAGCGGUUCGGCCGGGAACUCAAAGGAGACUGCCAGUGAUAAACUGGAGGAAGGUGGGGAUGACGUCAAGUCAUCAUGGCCCUUACGAGUAGGGCUACACACGUGCUACAAUGGCGUAUACAAAGAGAAGCGACCUCGCGAGAGCAAGCGGACCUCAUAAAGUACGUCGUAGUCCGGAUUGGAGU